rnacentral:tRNA from 1 species
UGGGUUGUGGCUCAGUGGUGGAGUGCUUGCCUAGUGUGUAUGAGGCACUGGGUUUGAGCCUCAGCACCAUAU